GCCUGGCUAGCUCAGUUGGUAGAGGAUGUGACUCUUGAUCUUGGAGUCGUGAGAUCAAGCCCCAUGUUGGGCG
rnacentral:tRNA from 1 species